CGAAAUGACAGGUGACCGGCGCUGAGAUAUUUUUUGUCUAUAAAGGGCGUACUAGCUUUCAAAGACAGUACAUUCAUUGGACAGUUUGAAGCACCAACCAUGACCCGUCUUCUGCUAGUCUCCGUGCUCGCGAUAUCAGUGGCCUGCGUCGGCGUCCUAUCAGCAGAACAUACUGUGGAGAAGUGGCUCCAACAGUUACAGCCCUUAUGACUACGGCAGCGGCGCAUACGGCAGCUACUGGGGAAGUGGUUCAGGCAGUUAUUAUCCCUUCCCUGGUGGCCUUGGAGGACUGAGCGUGUAUGGAAACGGAGGCAGCAGCAAUAGCUUUGGCUACGGCUCCAACUAUCCUUCGAACGUCUACUAUGGCCAAGGCAAUGGAUUCGGUGGUGGCUGGUACGGCCAACAGCAACAGGUGCAGUACUGGUAAUGUUAGUACUGUGAUGGCGUCGAUAAGAAAAGCUCUUGUAUAAUAAAGACAAACGCCAACUUGCUCGCUGAGACGGA
rnacentral:lncRNA from 1 species